UAACUAAUAACUAUGAUAUUUUGAAGUGAGGCUUCUAUUAAGAAAACAAAAAGGGUCAAAUAGAAGCCACUGAUUUGGGGAUUAUAUUAUUUACAUAUUUCAUAGAAUUUCUCUCUUUUUUCUUCAUGCAGACAGUUGCCAUCUAAAGAUACAUUUAAAGCUUGCCCUUCCUUUGGGAGAACAUAUGAGGUGACAUUACCUCAGAGAACAAAGAACCCUGGGUUUGUCCUGCCUCUCGUUUGGCCUUGCAUAAGAAGACUAAACUCAGGAUGUUUUUGGGGCCGUUGACAAGCUAGCCACUUUUGGAGUAAGACCAGAGCCAGAACUCUGACUUCCCAGACCUAUGGUGAUCCUUCCUCAGUGAAGACAGAUAAUGAGGUGGAUGGAAGGUAUGGAGACUCUAGGGUAAGAAAAAGAAGGCAGAAGACAAAACAAGUACUCCAGGGAAAGGUAUCUGUGAGCACCAGAAUGUGCUUCUUGUGUAUUUUUCUGAGGACCAUUCUGUUCCUACUCUCAUCUUUGGCUUCUGAUCAUCCACAAUUUCCCACCUGAGCCAAUCCGAUAACUGAAACAGUCACGCAAUCCUGUGUACCUGUGAGUAUGUGUCUGUGUGUGUGAUUUCCUAAGGAUGUUGUUAUUGUUGCGCUCUCAUUCUGCUUUCAGAGAAUGAGAUAGGGUUAUCACUUCUCAGCCUUUUGGCUAAGAUCAACUUCAGAGAAUGAGAUAGGGCCAAUUUGAUAGGCUAAGCCACAGAACCUCAACCCUGUUCUGUUUCAAGAGGGUUUAACCUAAGGAGGAAGUGAUGCGAGACCAGAGUCCUAAGAAUGUAAUAGGGCAAUGGUGUGAGAGACAAAGUCCAACCCUUUCUUCUUCCCUCCCCUUUCUCUUUGUCAGAACCAGUCUGUCUGCCCAGUAACCUGGGCUGAACCUUCAUCAUGGGGUGAAAUGAGAAACUGGGACUACAUUUCUAUGGAGGGCAGAAUUAGAAAAUUGUGCAAUUAAACAUGGAAAGCUAAAGAAUUAAAAGCAGCCUAAAUAUUGAUAUUUUUUUUACUUUAAAGAAUUAUUUUAAAUAUAUCUAAUUUCAAAAUCACCCUGUUUUUAAGACAAAAUACAAUAUAAAGGCAAAAAUCAGGAUAAAAAACUAAUUCAUGGUUUAUAAAAAUGUUUUAGUUAAUUUCCUUGCAUCAUUAGGUGUUGUAUUUUUAUAAUUUUGGUUAACUCUUACUAACUGGAACAUAAGCUCUUAUUUUGGCUACAGCUUCCUCAACAAAAAUGCCUUUUUAUUGGGAAAAAGUAUCUUCCUGUCUGAAAAAUGCACAAUGCCUGAAAUAUUGAAAAAUCUUAAAAUAACGAAGUGGUAUGAUCCCAGAGAGAGGACUUCUUUAUGCACAUGAUACCUCCCUGAUCAAAACAGAUAUGUUCUGUCCUCUCUGAAAUCUAAGGUAGGAUUUAGUCUCCUUGACCUUAGCCAACCUGUGCAAUA
rnacentral:lncRNA from 1 species